AUUUUACAAAUUAUUUUAUAUCAAGAGUAAGCUCAAAAAGCAAGUGCAAUAUCCAACCCGAAUCACGCAAAUAGAUCCUGAACUGGCAAUCCAAAUGAAAACUAAUAUACUAAUCAUAAAAUUGAAGUUAAAAUGCCCUUAUCAAACAGAACAAAGAGGUCAUUUGCUUGGGUCUCUAAGAAGUUUCCCAAUUAACAAACCAAGCUACCAUAUUGAUUAAUCACAACAUCGUUGGAAUAAAACAAAAGCACACCACUUGGACAUGGCUUCAUGUAACCUCUGCAACCGAAUAGUGCAAAUUUGGGUCAGAUUUCUUCAGAAAAAUAGUUCCACAUAACAAGUCUUGGCUGCCUACAUCAAAAUCGACAGUGAUCGCCUGAGGCUCACAGAAACCAACCAUUUGGCCAUUUUUAUCCAGAAACUCGAACCUAUUAGAACUUCCACUGUACUUCCUACCUUGCUUCUGGUCUUUACCCUUGCUGCCCCGUGAAGAUUUGCCACCACCCUUGUGCUUGCUCUUCCCGUGCCUCUUGAUAUCACUAAUGAUAGGCGAUGAUUCUUGUUCAAUGAAACAUGUAACAUUGCUGUUGGGACUGGAUCGUGUACAUCAAGGUCCCAUCAUUCCCAUGUCACUGGUAUCCCCUGCUUUUCAUGGCUACCUUUCAUGGCAGAUACAAGCUUCAAAGGAGCCUCUGAGAAGAUUAGACAUCAAGGAGAAAAAUUGGAGUGAGUGGUAUUAUGAAUUUGCCCAAAACUGAACUGUCGUAUACCAUACUAGAACUUAUCAGAAACAUAACUAUUUGGAAUGCACUACUACUUUACUGAAACUUUUUUCGAGGCACCGCCCCAGUUACUAAAUAGGCAAUUAAAGAAGAGAAUAAUGGGAAAACAAAGAAACGAACAUAUCGCACUGUUGAAAUACAACAGAGGUUGGACAUCAAAAAAUUCAAAACGGAUGGGCAAAAGGUUCACUGGCCUGCAUCCUCUAGAAUUAUUGUCUCUGAUAUAAAUUGCAUACAGAUCAUCAAGAAGAUAGCUUAUAUUUUCGAAAACCAAAAGAACAGAAUUAUAAGCAAAGAUAAAGCUAGAAUAUAAUAUAGAAGAAAUUAAGCCCAUGUUUGGUAGAGAUUUUUUGAGAAUAGAUUUUGUGAGAAGUAAUUUCUUUUGGAGAAUUAGGGGUUAAAAACUAGGAAAAACGUACGGGUUUACUAGUAAAAUUAUUUUAUUGGAAAAAUAUGUAAUUGAAAAUGAGCUCGAGAAAUCGGGGCCAAACAAGGAAUAUAAAAUCGCACACACAGGAGCACAAUUGACACAUACCUCGUGGUAAAGCAACUACGUGGCAUAAAAAAUCAUUCCUACUUUCCAGUAAUUUAACAUGAUCAUAGCAGUAUUAGUACAAUUCCAGUUCCCAACCAGACAGCUAUAGGUAAAAUACUUUAACUGUCUUGAACCAAAAACAGCAUCUGUUUUUCACUACAAUUCCCCAUUGACAUGAGAAAGAUCGUAUGUUGGUGAAAAAUAGAGACAAAAGCUAGCUAUCAAGAAGUCUAAGUAAACUUACAGGCAAAAAAAUGGACUGUGAAUAAGACUGAUCAACAGAUUUAGCAUGGCCAUUUGGCAAAGAGACUUUCAGAGUUAUAUAAUCACCAUGCUUUUCUUUCCUGUCCACUAAUUCGAUGGUGGAAAAUUUAUGCUCACCAAGAGGUGGAAUUGUUGCUAAGGCAAUUCUCAGAAGAUGGAAUGCUCACCUCCCUUAUAUCUGGGUCCUUAUAUUCAUCUAUGCUCGCCACAUUGCCUAUAACAUAUUUCUCAGGAGUUGGAGCAAAGCGGUGAAGCCACAACUUGAAAUUGCCACAUCCUCAGUGCUUAGAAACUCAAUCAAACAUGAUUCCAGAUCAUUGACAGAAACAUCACUUGCACAGUUAUGAGCUGAAUCAGGAGGAUCAGUCGAUUUGCUAAUGCUGGUUAUAUCCUGCGGACCUGGUGUAUUAUGUGUUAAGACCUGAAAUUCGAUCUUAAAAGGUCAACCUUCUUAAAAGGAGUAGCCCACCUUAUAAGUUGGUAUGUUUUAUCUUUAUUUGAUAUGGAAUUAUAUCCCUUGAUGUGCCUCGCAAGAUAGUGGCUCGUUUGAGCAGACCAAUCUUGAAAUCCGAAUGCUCAUUUAUUGAGUCUUAAUCGAAUCGAAUUGCUCGUUGAAACUUAAUGGGCUCUGAUAUUAUGUUAAGACUUGGAGUUCCAUUUUAAAAGGUCAAUCUUCUUAAGAGAAGUAGCUCAAGACCUUAUAAGUUGGUCUAUGUUUUCAUCUUUAUUUGUUGUGAGAUUAUAUCCCUUGAUAUUAUGAAGAACACAAACUUCCAUAUACAGGAACAAGAAUGGCAGAGAAGGGCUGCACCAGCAGAGAUGGAAGCAACUAAGCACUUACGAUUAUGAAAAGUAUCACUUCCAAAAUAACACAAACAAAGCAGGAAAAAAUAUGUGGAACAGUAGAUAGGAAUAUAAUACAUUCAACUGACCUCCACUCCAGCAUUGACAUACCACUAGAUAGGAGGAAUGUAUGAGCACGAGAAAUGGCCAGUUUAUGACUUGAAAAU
rnacentral:lncRNA from 1 species